UACGGAGGAUGCAAGCGUUAUCCGGAAUGAUUGGGCGUAAAGCGUCCGCAGGUGGCUGUGUAAGUCUGCUGUCAAAGAGCAAAGCUCAACUUUGUAAAGGCAGUGGAAACUACACGGCUAGAGUGCGUUCGGGGCAGAGGGAAUUCCAGGUGUAGCGGUGAAAUGCGUAGAUAUCUGGAGGAAUACCGGUGGCGAAGGCGGCAUCCUGGACCGACAUUGACGCUGAUGAGCGAAAGCUAGGGGAGCAAACGGG
rnacentral:rRNA from 1 species